rnacentral:rRNA from 1 species
CGUAAACAACCUGCCUUCAGGAUGGGGACAACAGACGGAAACGACUGCUAAUACCGAAUAAGUUCCAAGAGCCGCAUGGCUCAUGGAAGAAAAGGUGGCCUCUACCUGUAAGCUAUCGCCUGAAGAGGGGUUUGCGUCUGAUUAGCUGGUUGGAGGGGUAACGGCCCACCAAGGCGACGAUCAGUAGCCGGUCUGAGAGGAUGAACGGCCACACUGGAACUGAGACACGGUCCAG